CGUAGGGUGCGAGCGUUAAUCGGAAUUACUGGGCGUAAAGCGUGCGCAGGCGGUUAUAUAAGACAGAUGUGAAAUCCCCGGGCUCAACCUGGGAACUGCAUUUGUGACUGUAUAGCUAGAGUACGGCAGAGGGGGAUGGAAUUCCGCGUGUAGCAGUGAAAUGCGUAGAUAUGCGGAGGAACACCGAUGGCGAAGGCAAUCCCCUGGGCCUGUACUGACGCUCAUGCACGAAAGCGUGGGGAGCAAACAGGAUUAGAUACCCUGGUAGUCCACGCCCUAAACGAUGUCAACUGGUUGUUGGGUCUUCACUGUCUCAGUAACGAAGCUAACGCGUGAAGUUGACCGCCUGGGGAGUACGGCCGCAAGGUUG
rnacentral:rRNA from 1 species